rnacentral:rRNA from 1 species
CAAUAGCGUAUAUUAAAGUUGUUGCAGUUAAAAAGCUCGUAGUUGGAUUUCUGGUAGGAGUGACCGUUACGAACUUGAUUGUUCGUGUAUUGUGUUUUCUCCAGCCAUCCUUGUGGAGAACUUUUCUUGCAUUAAUUUGUAGGGAUUGGGACCCGCAUCGUUUACUGUGAAAAAAUUAGAGUGUUUAAAGCAGGCAAUCGCUUGAAUACAUUAGCAUGGAAUAAUAAGAUAGGACUUUGGUACUAUUUUGUUGGUUUGCAUACCAAAUUAAUGAUCAACAGGAACAGUUUGAGGAUAUUCGUAUGAACAUGUCAGAGGUGAAAUUCUUGGAUUUUGAUCAGACGAACUACUGCGAAAGCAUUUAUCAAGGAUGUUUUCAUUAA